CUUCACCGACCCCAACAACAGCGGCCGGUCCCCCGGGCGCUCCUGCCCGUACGUCGCCAGCAGAGCCUGCGCCUC
rnacentral:antisense_RNA from 1 species